CUUCACAUAGCUAUAUAAACCUAGCUUGUCAUCCUGAUCAGUAAAAGAGGUACAUUUGCACAUAUGUACAUACAUACUAAAUGGCAUCUGAUUUAAUUAUUUCUGAACGUUGCAUGCACGCACGUACAUAUGUAUGUACAUAUCUACUCAAAGUUUAUUGGAACGUAAGGACAUACACCAAUUCAACAUUAAGAACCCUUCGCAAAGUCCCCAGAAGUUAAGUUUAAAAUGCUUUAUUUGCAGCUAUGUAAUAUUCAUAAAUUAGUUUAAUAAUAUUAUAACAGGUAUAUAACAAAUAUGUAAUUUCAAGGUGGGUUGUAUUUUCGAUUUUUCGUUUUUCAAACUCAGUUUCAUUGCGUCAAUUAUAAAUCUCUUUAUUGUUUAAUUCUUAAUUUAAAUGUAAUUUUUUUCAUUUUUUCGCAGUAGACGCUUGUUCCGGCAAUGGUUGGCUAAUUUGUUUUAUAGUUUCUAUUAAAAAUGUUUACUUUUGUAUUCUUUUAAUGCAUCCACUUCUCUAAUCAAGUAUCUAUAGCCCUAUCAUAUGUUUUACUUUGUGAUAAAACUAUAUUUAAAAUUAAUAUGACCUCUAUCGUACUUUAAUAUUCUUUUAUUGUAAAAGAAAC
rnacentral:lncRNA from 1 species